UACGUAGGUGGCAAGCGUUGUCCGGAUUUACUGGGCGUAAAGAGCGCGCAGGCGGUCGCUCAAGUCGCGUGUGAAAGCCCCCGGCUCAACUGGGGAGGGUCACGCGAUACUGAUCGACUGGAAGGCAGGAGAGGGUAGUGGAAUUCCCGGUGUAGUGGUGAAAUGCGUAGAUAUCGGGAGGAACACCAGAGGCGAAGGCGACUUCCUGGACAAUUGCUGACGCUCAGGCACGAAAGCAUGGGGAGCAAAAGGG
rnacentral:rRNA from 1 species